rnacentral:piRNA from 1 species
UCAUACGUGCGCCUUGAAUUU